GAAAUUUUGUAUUAAAGAGAUAAAUUUUCAAUUUAUUAAAAAUCAUAGAGUGAGGGCUGUUUGAACUAUUUGUUCUCGUCUUCUUUCUUUGAUUAGUGCAUAGGAGGAGGUUAUACUUGGUUGGUCAGUGUUAAUCAUGUUUAAUAGUGAUAUAUGAUUUCAAAUCUAGCUAUGCAAGUGUGCAUACUGUGAUAUUGUGUUUUAAUUGAUAUUGGUCCAGUACUUAUUUGUUUAUUGAGUUGGAUUGAGUUGGUUACUUGUUGAAUAAUAUAAGAAAACAGGUGGAUAGUCCGAUAAAUAGAGGAAGUGCUGUCGAAUUUUCGUUAGAAACUAUAUAUGUUUUACUUGUUGAAGGAUAUUAAAUAGAUAAGAAUAAGGUGACAUGGUUAACUGAAACAUGUUAAAUGUUAACUUAUCAAUAUUGACUUUUUAAUGGCUAUAAAAGUUAAUUGUUCAACUAUGUGCUAUGUGUUUGUCUGACUAUGUGGCAUGUAUAUGCGAAGGGUAGAUAUAAAAUAGGUCUUAAUGCUUUUCGAGCUUAGUUAAUCCGUCUGAUCCGACGACUAAAAUAAUAUUUUGCCAUCGUAUAGAAUGGAACGAGACGUUGAUCGAGGCAUUGAUCGAGAAGUGAUUAAAAUGGUUAUUCAGAAAUAGCUAAGUUGUGUUGCAAGUGGAAGUUAGGCAGAGAUUGCUAUAGAUAGAGUCUUGUCAGAAGCUGGCAGAAAGGAAUGAUAUGGCACUACAUAGUGUUAUUAGAAAUCUGAGCUAGACACCGGAGUUAAGGCAAGUAUAUAUCCAACCUACUUUCUCUUUAAAAGAUUUUGCUCCUGCAAUGCUUUGUUAUGCUUUGAAUAUUGCAAAACUCCUUAUAGAAUUAGACUUCUACUAAUUAACUAGUAUUCUGGAAUUACCCAAGUAUGAAAUGGAAUACCCUUUGUCACUUAUAUCUUGCAAAUGUAUCAGCUUAAUUAUCAUCCUUAUCUUCUUCAACUGCCAGAUACUUAAUAUUGAGCUUAUAACUUUGUUUUCUUACCUCCCUCUCAACUACAACAAAUUGUGUUCUUGCUUAUAAACUAGUUCACUUAUUUGUUUCUGACUCAUAAAUGAAACCCUAUUUCUUGAAAGACCUUAGUUAUCAUCAUACAACCUACCCUGCCAUUAUUAUAAAAUACAUUGAUACACUUGAUUCAGUAGCCUAUACCCUUGAUAAAGAAUACUUAAUUAGUAGAACUCUAAUGCUAAGGUGUUGAAAUGAAUAUUUGGUUGAGAAUCAUUGUUGCUUACAGAUUUUGAACCUUGGUUUUAAAAUGAAAAAAUGAAUUGAUUUAUCUGUUUUAGAAAGGGAAUUGGAUGAAAAUGUUUUAUGACCGAGGCGCCGGUCCCAAUUGAAUUAUUAAAGGCCAAAGUGUGCCUAGGAUCCCUUAUAUUUGAGAACUCGUAUUGAAUAUGCGGGUUCGGAGCUAUGUCGUGGGCUGAUCACCCAGCUUAGCUCGUAGCGUCUUAUCUGGUUCCAAUUCCAUGAAGAAGAAACUGUUUUGUUUAAAUCAUAUUGUGUUGGUAUCAUUAUCUUUAUAUCAUUGUUGGUUUGGAUAUUAUAUACUUGCUGAGCAUUCUUUUGCUCAUUCUUGCUAUUUCUUCUAACCCCUUUCAGAUAAUGUUAAAGAUGGUUCGCCUAUUUAGGCUAAGCAUAAGAGUAAGGCUAGGCGAGGAUUGCAAGUGACUAAGUUUCAACCUGAUGGUCAGGAAGAGUAUCCAAGAUCGAGUCUUUGGGACUAGUGGUAAUUAGAGUUGUCUAAAUUUGAUUUAGUUGUAAAAACAUGUAAUAAGAUUUAUUAGUUUUACUUUUCUGAUUUCAAUACUAUAGCCUGUUUGCGAUCCUGUUUUAAAGGGGGUUAAACUUUGUUCUUUUAAAUCUUUUAUUAAAGCUUUUAGGUUUUAAAUUCUUUGAUUUUUAUUAGCUUUUCAACAAUACAUGUUUCGAAAGGGUAAAUCAUUUUUUUUAAUAUCCAGGUUUGAAAUACUUGUUUUUGCUUUCUUUAAAAAAAACAUACAGGUUUUCAAUUGUUUUUCUUUUAGUGGCACCGAAUCUAGACCCCCGGAUUU
rnacentral:lncRNA from 1 species